CGCGAUGUUUAUUAUGCAGCAUUGCAGCAAGCCUGGAACCAAAGCCUGCUAGUUAUUCAAAUUCUGGUGGCCGCAUAUUUCUGGCCUUCACGGGAUGGGAUUUUGGUGCAUGACUGACAGAUUCAGUGCUGGAGGGCAAUGAGAUACAUUACUCCAACAUUCAUCAGCAAGUGGAAGCUACGUUGUAUUCAUAUGUGGGCCUAUAAAGUUGUUCUAUGCUUGUGUCCUUCGUGGGAAAACAGGAAAGGAAAAUGCAUACAUCUGUGAAUUGUAACGUUUUUUUGUUACAUCGAGAACAAUAUCCGAUUAGGAACACCUCGAUUGAAAAACUGAUCAACAUAGGUGUAGUUUUUUUUCCCAUUUUUUUGUUAUUAUUAUGUACCCAAGAUCACAAGUGUGUCUUAAUUUCAUGCUUCCUUCUGUGGA